rnacentral:rRNA from 1 species
GUUGGUGGCUAGAGCGGUGAGGGUCCACCCGGUCCCAUCUCGAACCCGGAAGUUAAGCUCACCAGCGUCGAUGGUACUGCAUGGGUAACUGUGUGGGAGAGUAGAUCGCUGCCAACA